ACGGAAGGCAGCAGUGGGGAAUAUUGGACAAUGGGGGAAACCCUGAUGCAGCGACGCCGCGUGAGCGAAGAAGUAUUUCGGUAUGUAAAGCUCUAUCAGCAGGGAAGAAAAUGACGGUACCUGACUAAGAAGCCCCGGCUAACUACGUGCCAGCAGCCGCGGUAAUACGUAGGGGGCAAGCGUUAUCCGGAUUUACUGGGUGUAAAGGGAGCGUAGACGGCAAGGUAAGUCUGAAGUGAAAUGCCGGGGCUCAGCCCCGGAACUGCGUUGGAAACUAUCUCGCUCGAGUACCGGAGGGGUAAGCGGAAUUCCUAGUGUAGCGGUGAAAUGCGUAGAUAUUAGGAGGAACACCAGUGGCGAAGGCGGCUUACUGGACGGUAACUGACGUUGAGGCUCGAAAGCGUGGGGAGCAAACAGGAUUAGAUACCCUGGUA
rnacentral:rRNA from 1 species